rnacentral:tRNA from 1 species
GAAGUAUCAAGAUGAAACUGGGGUUUCUAACCCCUUGUUUAAGUGGUUAAAUUCCAUUUAUAUUUCG